UACAUAGGUCCCAAGCGUUAUCCGGAAUUACUGGGCGUAAAGCGUCUGCAGGUGGAAAAGUGUGUCAGGUAUGAAAGACCGGGGCUCAACCCCGUGUUUGUAUCUGAAACUGCUUUUCUCGAGUGAGCAAGAGGUAUGCGGAAUUUAUGGAGUAGGAGUGCAAUCCGUUGACACCAUAAAGAACACCAAAAGCGAAGGCAGCAUACUGGGGCUCUACUGACACUCAGAGACGAAAGCGUGGGGAGCGAAAGGG
rnacentral:rRNA from 1 species